GUAAUAUACUCUCCAACUCCCUCCCAAUCUCUCACAUGCACACAGCCCAAUGCCUGGGUGCAUGACUGAUCCUCUGCAGCAUGCCAACCCCCCCACCCCAAUGAGCAUCCACUGACUGGGAGCGACUGGAAUGGUGUCUGACCGGUUUUACCGAUUUGAAUAGCAAUUGACCCUGAAUUAUUCGGAUGCCGAUUCCAAGGUUUGAAACCCUGAUGCAAACUCGUUGAAGGAAGACUACCCAAAAAAAACUAUUGAAGGAAAUUAAGAAGAACCUGCAGUGUAUACCAGUAUAUGUAUUUGCACUUACAAAAGCUCUGUAUGUAUUUUCUCUAUCAGGAUUUGCUUCUGAAGGUUUUUGCUUUGUGUUUUUAAUAAAUAAGAUACUGCUGCUGCUGUAGAUGAUCUGAAGACUUUGGAGUUUGGAGAGGCUCUCACCCCUUUUUAUACAUUUGUGUCCGAAAAAAUUGCUUACCCAAAAAGAAAAGAAAAAAUGUGUCCGAGAAGAUUGGUUUGCCAUGAAUUGUAUUUUAAUCUGUUAACCCACCAUUUUUAAGACUUCAUUUCCGCCAUUUGAGAUAGAUUAGACCAGGCAAGAUCAUAUCUACCACCACUUUACCACUUUGGGAACCUUCGACCAUGAAAGAUUCUGAUCUCGUGAUCUUAAUCAAUACUUCACCAUUAACCAUCAUUCUUCUAUUUCCAAUCUCAUCCAAGUAAGUAACUCUGAACUCUCUCUCUUGCAAUUACCACCAUUCGUUAUUCUUCUCAUCUGGAGUCAGAAGUGGGCGAAAAAAUAGUUCUUUAAUUUUUGAGUAGCUUGGCCUGGAUCGACGAAGGGGAAGGAGUUCUCCGUUUUAACGCUUCUGCAACUGUGUGUGGAUAGUGAAUGAAAUAAAGGGUUGCUGGUGAAAGAAGGUGAAAUCCCCUCCUUUGGUCGCUCUCUCUCAGUCGGGAACCGCUCGGGCUAAGCUCUAGGCUGAAACAUUACUUGGGUAUCUGAGAGAAUUAAGGCAAGAGGCAUCCUCUUCUAGCCCUAUGGAGAGAUGGAAAGUCAUCUCGAAUAUAGAGAAGGGCGCCAGAGAUAACUCCUAUACACCAACAAGGAAAAGAAGCAAAUAGAAAUGUAAGGGAGUUGGUAGGAAAUUCUGAUCAAUUCAUGGAGGAUUUAGUUCACGGUAUCAGCUGCGGAUACCAUAUUGGGCUGUAUUCAUUAUCUUUCCCAGACCAUUGUGGGUUCCUACUGAUGACACUGUCUCAUGCACUACCAUUGGUGUGGCGUGGAAGAUUCCCAACCCUCAUGUUUUCCUUAUGAUUCCCUUGCUCUGUGAUUGCUUUUAGAUCAAUGCAAGUUUGAUACAUUCUUACCUGUGUCAUAUCCGAAGAGAAGACCUCCAAUGCCAGCAGACAAGGCUAGGCGCAUGAUAUAAGGAUGCUUCCAUGUUGUUUUGAAGCACUCUGCGAACUCUUCCGCAUCCAGUUUCUGAACUCCUCCCUCCACCAUGUUUGAGGGAAAACUACGAUUGAAGAUUUAGUUAAAACCUGCAUGAAAUGAAACAAUAAUGGAAACUUGAGAAUACUAUUACUAAAUAAGUACUUCAGUUAUAUCAAAUGGUUCCUAGCAGUUCUGGAUCAA